UACGUAGGGGGCAAGCGUUGUCCGGAAUUAUUGGGCGUAAAGAGCGUGUAGGCGGUCCGGUAAGUCAGCUGUGAAAGUCAAGGGCUCAACCCUUGAAAGCCGGUGGAUACUGUCGGGCUAGAGUACGGAAGAGGCAAGUGGAAUUCCUGGUGUAGCGGUGGAAUGCGCAGAUAUCAGGAGGAACACCGGUGGCGAAGGCGGGUCUCUGGGCCGAUACUGACGCUGAGGAGCGAAAGCGUGGGGAGCGAACAGG
rnacentral:rRNA from 1 species